AGAGUUUGAUCCUGGCUCAGGACGAACGCUGGCGGCGUGCUUAACACAUGCAAGUCGAACGGAAAGGCCCUGCUUUUGUGGGGUGCUCGAGUGGCGAACGGGUGAGUAACACGUGAGUAACCUGCCCUUGACUUUGGGAUAACUUCAGGAAACUGGGGCUAAUACCGGAUAGGAGCUCCUGCUGCAUGGUGGGGGUUGGAAAGUUUCGGCGGUUGGGGAUGGACUCGCGGCUUAUCAGCUUGUUGGUGGGGUAGUGGCUUACCAAGGCUUUGACGGGUAGCCGGCCUGAGAGGGUGACCGGCCACAUUGGGACUGAGAUACGGCCCAGACUCCUACGGGAGGCAGCAGUGGGGAAUAUUGCACAAUGGGCGGAAGCCUGAUGCAGCAACGCCGCGUGCGGGAUGACGGCCUUCGGGUUGUAAACCGCUUUCGCCUGUGACGAAGCGUGAGUGACGGUAAUGGGUAAAGAAGCACCGGCUAACUUCGUGCCAGCAGCCGCGGUAAA
rnacentral:rRNA from 1 species